rnacentral:tRNA from 3 species
GGAGGGGUGCCCGAGUGGUUAAAGGGGACGGACUGUAAAUCCGUUGCUUUAUGCUACGUUGGUUCGAAUCCAACCCCCUCCACCA